UCUUCUUUUGCGUACCUUUUU
ensembl:piRNA 21ur-8874 ncRNA